rnacentral:lncRNA from 1 species
AUGGUUCUCUCCUUCCUCGACCGUUCAGGUUAGUGUGCUAGGAUGGUUGCCGAUUACGACUUCCAUCGUUCUCAUUCUGGUGGUUGUUACCCUGUUCAGUCCUGGACACCGAGUGCUGGGCUGACCAUUCGGUGCAGCCUCGUUCUGCCCUCAGUGCCUCAAUCUCCUAUGCGUGCUUCCACUGCAUCUCUUGUUGUGCUUGGGCCUACGCCUGUAUGGUUUGUGCCUUUGUGUGCUUGCAUCUGUGCUAUCAAAUCUCUGGUGUUCUGUUGUUCCUCCAUGCUCCUCAUGGUCAUCAUUGGGUUUCUUCAGCUUCU